CUAUUCCGCAUGACACUGCGGAAUUGCUUCGGCAAUUGCGGCAACGCUUGUCGGUCUGCGGGGCACGAUCACUCGCGCUGCUUCACGUCAGUGGAGUUUUUAAAGAUUUCGCGUGUUCGUCAAUUGAUGGCGGCAGAAUUCGACGACCGCACUGAAAUCGAUUUAUCACAAGCGUCAAGAAAAGUGCUGUCGCGACCGAGUCGAAUAGCAGUGAUCGAAAUUCGAGUAGAAAUGCGUGUUUGAUCGAAGCCUGAGGGAGAACGAGGAGACGAGGGAGCAACUGGAGACCGGAAAACACUCCCGAGUCUACGAGAUGAAAACGGAUGCAACAGGCAACGCCUACAAGGGGACAUGGAUAUCCGUCGAGAAGGGUAACAAGAUCAAAAGCACAAGCGAAGGCUGACAAGCCGAUAUAAGGUAAGAUCGUUGGAUCAGGUUACUCGCCAAGGUGAGCAUUUCGCCAACCACAUCGACACGUUCCUCAAAAUUAAGCAAAAGGCAAGCGACUGGCCUGCCGAAUGCGAGAACGAGCCGGUUCGAAAACGGUACCUUAAUUGACGAGUACGAACCGUUAGAGGGUGUACGACUGGAUCGCGAUCGUAUUCCAGAGGCGUAUUCCCGGUACGCGGUCAACGCCUAAAUCAUGUCUGAACUCAUUCUAGCUAGGACAUGUUCGGCCAUGCGAAAAAAUCUAGUGAAAAACAGAGGUGGUCAAGACGCGACAGCAGCUGCUCGAAAUCUUGGCCAACCCUGAAGUCGAGGAGUCCGGUUUGCCACACGUGCAAUGGAGCGUUGAAACGUCAGCACUGGAAGACGUCGCGAUUCCCACUGUCCAAGCUCGGCUGAAGCUCUACUCGAACUUCGAGAAGCUCGAUCGUCGCGUUCUCUACUAAGACAGUGAUUCAGUGAUUUAUAUCCGCAACCACCGACGGGUCACUUUCUUGGCGACCUGAUGGACGAGUUGGAGUCUUAGAGCCGCGGGAGUUUUAUGCGAGCUUGCGUCUCGGGAGGACCGAAGUUCUACGCAUUCGUCGUCCAAGGUCCGAAUGGCGAGGAGGUUGAAAUUUUCAAGGUAAAGGGUAUAACGCCGAAUCACACGACGGGUUCGGAAAUCGCCACCCUUCGGUGACCGCACAAGGUGACGAUGAACCCUGUCUCCAAGCAGUUUCACGCUUCCACUACCGUCGUCUCAUCUUGCGGUACAGACACCCGGAUGGAAGUUCACAAGCCACUUGCACGCUCGACCGAAAGACGGAUGGAAAUAUAGAAAGGCAGACAAGGAAACAGACAGAGAGGCCACCGAAGGAAUUCUUCAUAAGCUGCUGUUUUAAUUUCUAAAAUACGUGCAUUCUAGUAUUUAUUUUAAU